ACAAGCGGUGAGCAUGUGUUUAAUUCGAAGCAACGCGAAGAACCUUACCAGGUCUUGACAUCCCCUGACACCCGAGAGAUCGGGCGUUCCCCUUCGGGGGACAGGGUGACAGGUGGUGCAUGGUUGUCGUCAGCUCGUGUCGUGAGAUGUUGGGUUAAGUCCCGCAACGAGCGCAACCCUCGACCUUAGUUGCCAGCAUUCAGUUGGGCACUCUAAGGUGACUGCCGGCUAAAAGUCGGAGGAAGUGGGGAUGACGUCAAAUCAUCAUGCCCCUUAUGACCUGGGCUACACACGUGCUACAAUGGGCGGUACAAAGGGUCGCGAACCCGCGAGGGGGAGCCAAUCCCAAAAAGCCGCUCUCAGUUCGGAUUGCAGGCUGCAACUCGCCUGCAUGAAGCCGGAAUCGCUAGUAAUCGCGGAUCAGCAUGCCGCGGUGAAUACGUUCCCGGGCCUU
rnacentral:rRNA from 1 species